CGCUGUUCGGGCGGCCUUCGUCUUGCGGCGCGGUGCGCCGCGGGAAGCCGGAUCGCGCCGUGCGCGCCGGCGUGCGACGCGCAUCGCGCCCGCGCACCGGCUCCCACCGAUGAGCACCGAUAUGUCGAUUUCAUUUUCCGUUUCGCUCCGCGCCGUCGCGGCGGCGCUCUCGCUUGCCGCGGCGGGCGCCGCGCAAGCGGCCGCGGACGGCGCGUGCAUGGCCCGCAGCCCCGACGGCCGGCAGGCGCUCGUCGAGCUCUAUACGAGCGAGGGCUGCAGCAGUUGUCCGCCCGCCGACGACUGGCUCGCACGGCUCGCCGCGCGCCGCGCCGCGUUGCGCGUCGUGCCGCUCGCGCUGCACGUCGAUUACUGGGACGGCCUCGGCUGGGCGGAUCGCUUCGCGCAGCAUCGCUUCACCGAGCGGCAGCACGCGCUUGCCGCGCGCGGCGGCGGCCGUUUCGUCUAUACGCCGGAGGUCGCGGUUGACGGCCGCGAGCUGCGCGACUGGCGCGACGCGGACGCGUUCGGGCGGCGCGUCGUCGCGACGGCGGCCGAGCCCGCGCGCGUCGGCAUCGCGCUGGCCGCCAAGCGGCGCGCGGGCGCGCUCGACGUCGCGCUGUCCGUGACGCCGCGCGUCGGCGCGCCGCGCGCGCUCGACGCCUAUCUCGCGCUGUACGAGAACGGCGUCGAAUCGCAGGUGCGCGCGGGCGAGAACCGAGGCGCGACGCUGCGGCACGAGCGCGUCGUGCGUCAAUGGAUCGGGCCACUCGCCGCGACGGCCGACGCGCACGCGUCGCUCGACGUGCGGCGCGCGCUGCCGCUGCCCGCGAACCUGCGCGCGGCGGACGCCGCACGGUAUGGCGUCGCGGCGUUUGUCGAGGAUCCCGCGACGGGCGACGUCCUGCAGGCGCUCGAUUUGCCGCUGUGCGGCUGAACGAUGCGCGCGCGAUCGAUCAACGAACGAGGGUAUCGCCGAUGAGCGCGACGCCGACGACGAGCGCAUCGACAACGGCCAUGGCCGGCGCGCGGGCGAGCGGGGCGGCCGACGCGCCGGCACGCGCGCCGACCGGUGCGGACAUCGAUGCCGGCGCAACGGCAUGGGCCGAAGCGAACGCCAAUGCGACGGCCGACGCGACGACCGAUGCAAUGGCCAACGUAACGACCGACGCGGCGACCCGCGUCACUGCCAACCCGCCGAUCGCGAYGAWACAGCUSAASGUGCCGGCSAKCASGGCAKCCGMCGMAACGACCGAAGCGGUCGCCGGCGCACGAGCCGGCGCGGCGCUCGAUGCGGCACACCCCGGAGCGACCCAAACGAUGAGCCAAACGAUGGCCCAAACGAUGGCCCAAACGAUGACCCAAGCGGGCACCGAAGCCGCGAGCCCGGCCGGCACGGACGCGGCCGCGA
rnacentral:rRNA from 1 species